GAUCAUAUCACAUUGAAAGACCGGUUCUCGUACGAUCACCGAGGUUAAACAACGUCGAGCCUGGUUAGCACCUACAUGGGUGACCUCUUUGGAAUACCAGGUGCC